UGUUAAAAAUUUAAUCCAUUUGCACUGUUAAAAACUAGUGUAGGUAACAAAAUAACCAUACAGUGACACAUGACAUGCCACGUAUAUCUCAUGGUGAUGUAUAGGGACUAGUUUUUAAUAGUAGAAAUAGAUAAUUUUUAAACA
rnacentral:pre_miRNA from 1 species